GUACCGGUUCUCGUUAGAUCACCGAAGUCAAGCAUCAUUGGGCGCGGUCAGUACUUGGGUGGGUGACCAUCUGGGAACACCGCGUGCCGUU